rnacentral:rRNA from 1 species
UACGGAGGGUGCAAGCGUUAUCCGGAUUCACUGGGUUUAAAGGGUGCGUAGGUGGGUUGGUAAGUCAGUGGUGAAAUCUCCAGGCUUAACUUGGAAACUGCCAUUGAUACUAUCAAUCUUGAAUACCGUGGAGGUCAGCGGAAUAUGUCAUGUAGCGGUGAAAUGCUUAGAUAUGACAUAGAACACCAAUUGCGAAGGCAGCUGGCUACACG